CUUACUAAACAUCAGAGGAAACUCCUGGGGGGAAAUUCCUUCUGCAUGCUCAAUCAGUUGUGCAGCUUCAGUUAAAGUUUCAGUCUGUAAGGAUGCAGAUGCUCACCUGUAAGCUGUUAGCAACCAAGGGAAAGAGUUGGUCUCUUUCUUCCUAUGGCAGCCAUGGACCCCUGUGCUUGGGUGGUCCUCCAGAGGCACUGAUACAGAGCCUGAAAGGAAGCUCCAAUCUCUGAUCCACAGGUGCCUUCAGCCUGGCAGGACCUGGUUCUUCUGAUUAGCAGCAGUUCUUGCUUGAAAGUAUGGGGAGCCUGGGACUGAGGGCAAACUUCUGGGAGUCCUCUUUCCACUGAAACAACUCUGAAAAUAAUGAAUGAGGGAAGAGAGAAGAAGAGAAGGCAGAAGAUGAGCAGAGCAGCUUUGGGUGUGCUUCAAUCUCUUGUUAUUCACGUGUUCUUUCAUUGGGAGAUCGUUUACCCUGGGAACUCAGUGCUGAUACCAGCUUCUUUUGUCAGAACUGUCUUCAUACUUACAGGCUGCUGGAAGAGCCAUUAAACCCAAGCUGUAAUUCCCUUUGCCUUUGGGCACAAAGUGCUGCCCGUAGCAAUGACAAUAAUACAGGAUUGUACUCGCAAAGGGGAAGAAGGGAAGUCUCAGGACAAGAUGUGAGGCUGGGUGAGUGGGCCCUGUGCCGCUGAUGGGUGGCACUGGGGAUUGUGUGUGUACUGCAAGUAUCACUGAGAAAAGUGCUUGAGGAGUUUAGGGAUCCAUUAAGUAGAGAGCAGAACUGUGUGCAUAUUGUUUUGAGCUUGGAUGCUGUAGUGGGGACAUCCACAGCUCCAGAAUGCAGACUCAAAGCAAGUGUCAGCUCACUUUUUCAAAGAUGUGUGCUUCUAACCAAAUUAUACACUGUCCUUUCCCUCCGUUCCCAAGGUUAUCUCAUGUCAAGUUCUGGCAGUUCUUGUUGCUGCAUCAUCUCUGUCUGUUCUGUGACUCACUGCUCAAUGUGAGUCAGAUAGCCUUGUAAGGAGGGGAGUCUGCAAGCUGAUUUCUGUGUGUCUAAAUAACAGACAAAUAUUUGAAUUAUAGAUAGCAACUAACUGCUAAUUGGCCACAAUGUAAGGCCCUUCUGACACUGUAAAUAUGGAAAAGAAUAGCUUGUUAUUUUUCACACCUGAAUGCCAGUCUUUUAAAAUGAAAAGCUAAUUCUAGCCUGGGAGGCAAGCUCUGUGUUUUAGUCUAGAGUGAUAGAGCGAGAACAAUAAAUGAACACUUAAGGUAAGGAGAAUUUCCCUGCAGCAAGUUUACUUGUGAUAAGUUAUACUGCCCUAUGGGAGACAAAAUUAAACUGUAGCUUUGAUUCAGAUCUCAAAGAAGUCUCAGCAGAAAACCUGACUGAAGAAAACAAAGCAAGAGACCACACUUUGAAUUGGGCAAAACACCAAUUAGGAAAAGCUUUUGUAGAUACUGUGUAUGUACAAGUGUAAUAUUGCUGUUAAGGCAGUGCUGGGAGCCAUGAAGUGCUGAGACUUCACUGUGGUGACACCUUGGUCUGUCUUACAGAGUAUGCUCAAAGUUCAGAUGUUAAAAUAGUAUCUAAGAAGUUAUUGAAUGGAGCUCUUUAUUGGUACAAUAAAGAUCUAGGUGUGCCCUCUGUUUCAAGGCAUAUCUUCAUCUUCAGUAAAUGUAACUGUUGUUGUAGGGAGGUAAAGGCAUUGCUGAUAGUUAAUGAGCCUCUUGUUUGUUUCAUAUAUGGUUAUUACUGGCUUAUUUUAUUUAGCAUGCUCCUUGUCCAGCUGUCCUUGCUACCUGUAACAGUGCCUGCAGGUGAGUGGCUGACGCUCACUCAGGUCUCUGCACUCAAGGGAGGGUGGGCAGCUGGCAGAGAACUCCAGCAAACAAUUUGCUCUGGUGAUUUUAUUGCAGAGAGUAAAAAGGUUUUAAUUCGUCUCAGUGAAUGUGUUUUUAUGAUCUGCCUCGGUGCAAUCAUACUUGUGAUGAAAUGAAAUAAUUAGAAAAGGUAUUCUCUUCUCUGCAGUCUGUUUACAACUAACGGAGUAAGUGAAAAUCCAGCCUUUUAUCUGACACCAAUUGGUACAGCGUUCUUGAGCUAAAUUGGACUUCUUCUGCUUUUUUUAAGCUUAAACAUAUCUUUCUCUUUCUCCCUUUCUUCCUUCUGUUUCUGAAUACCAGUAAAUUAAAGAUGACAGGAAACUGGAAAUGCUUUCAGAAAAGGUCUUGAAAUUCAUGUAAGUGCACAUAAGAAAAGGGGAAAAAGGGAGAGAAAUGUAACCCUUCUUCUUUCAUAGUAGCAUGACAAUCAAGAAAUUACUAAGAAUAUUUCAUACAUAUUACAACAAUUCUGGGGGAGAGGAAAGGGCAAUCUGCACUGAACAAUGUAUUCUACAGUAAUUUCAAUUUAGAUAACCAUACAGAAGAUUUUUCUAACCCUCCCUUCCAUGACAGAUGUCAAUUUCUCCAUUCUGUACUGGAAGCUUUUGUGUGAGUCACUUGCAGCACAGUGCUAUCAGAUGGGAGGGCUGAGUAAGGAAGAAGCAGUAGGACAUAAUUGCACUUCACUGAAAAUUUGGCAGUUGUGAAAUAAAAUGAGAGAAUUGUAGGAAAUACAACUUUUGUGCCUACAGUAUACCUGUGCUCUGCUAUUAAGAAGCCAGCUGUGUCACAGAGACAAAAAGCGAAUUCAGUGUAUACCAAUGACAAAUCACUGUUGACCAAACUCUGUCCUCGCUGCAGUUAGGCAGGCAGUUCCCUAUGGCCAGGCUGAGGUUUUUCAUGACUAGGAGAAAACUUGGAUUUUUUUUUUUAGGGUAGGGAUUACAGAUCUCCAAGGAGAAGAGCAAUAACAAAGAAGUCCAGGGAGUAUUCUGCAUAAAACUGCCAUAUUUACUGGGCUUGUUUUAUAGAAAUCUUAUUUCAGUUCCUAU